AAGGCCCUUCUCUUCGCGAAUCCUCAGGCUCUGCCUGGGGAACGGCUUCACAGCCAUAGCGGGAGCGGGGUCUU
rnacentral:ncRNA from 12 species